CCUACGGGUGGCAGCAGUGAGGAAUAUUGGUCAAUGGGCGAGAGCCUGAACCAGCCAAGUCGCGUGAGGGAGUACUGCCCUAUGGGUUGUAAACCUCUUUUGUCGGGGAGCAAAAGCCGGACGUGUCCGGCUGCGAGAGUACCCGAAGAAAAAGCAUCGGCUAACUCCGGUCCAGCAGCCGCGGUAAUACGGAGGAUGCGAGCGUUAGCCGGAUUUAUUGGGGUUAAAGGGUGCGCAGGCGGAUUUUUAAGUCAGCGGUAAAAUCGUGGGGCUCAACCCCAUCCAGCCGUUGAAACUGGGGGUCUAGAGUGAGCGAGAGGUAUGCGGAAUGCGUGGUGUAGCGGUGAAAUGCAUAGAUAUCACGCAGAACCCCGAUUGCGAAGGCAGCAUACCGGUGCACAACUGACGCUCAGGCACGAAAGCGUGGGUAUCGAACAGGAUUAGAUACCCUUGUAGUC
rnacentral:rRNA from 1 species